GACAGAGGGUGCAAACGUUGCUCGGAAUCACUGGGCGUAAAGGGCGUGUAGGCGGGUAGAUAAGUCGGGCGUGAAAUCCCUAGGCUCAACCUAGGAACUGCACUCGAAACUGUUUAUCUUGAGUGCCGGAGAGGAAAGCGGAAUUCCUGGUGUAGAGGUGAAAUGCGUAGAUAUCAGGAGGAAUACCGGUGGUGUAGACGGCUCUCUGGACCGCCACUGACGCUGAGACACGAAAAGCGUGGGUAGCAAACAGGA
rnacentral:rRNA from 1 species